rnacentral:lncRNA from 1 species
AUGACCAAGGAACUGCUGCUGAGAGCGAUAGACUUUCCAACUGAGAUGGAGAGAAUGCGCUCCUACUCUCUUUCAAUCGCCGAUGAGGAAGGUAGAGCAAUAGACAGAAUGAGUCUUAGUUUCAAUAUCCCCCGCUCUUGUUGUACUGUUCAUGGCAUGGAAUCCGCAUGGAAGGCUCUCGACCGGGUCGUGGCAUUGCUCUGGAGUGGAGCCGGGGAAGGAGCGAAGGGCAGAGGAUUUAGCUUUGGCUUUGGUUCGGUUGACCGUCUCUACAACAAAGAGAUAUGCCAAUUAGCGGCACACUUACUAUAA